rnacentral:rRNA from 1 species
GGUUAAGCUACUAAGAGCACACGGAGGAUGCCUAGGCGCUAGGAGCCGAUGAAGGACGUGGCGAACAACGAAACUGCCUCGGGGAGCUGUAAGCAAGCUUUGAUCCGGGGGUGUCCGAAUGGGGAAACCCAGCUGGGGUAAUUUCCAGUUACUCAUAACUGAAUACAUAGGUUAUGUAGAGGCAUACCAGGGGAACUGAAACAUCUAAGUACCUUGAGGAAGAGAAAACAAUAGUGAUUCCGUCAGUAGCGGCGAGCGAACGCGGAGAAGCCCAAACCAAGGAGCUUGCUCUUUGGGGUUGUGGGACGUCUCACAUGGAGUUACAAAGGAACCGGUUAAGCGAAGAGGUCUGGAAAGGCCCGCCAAAGAAGGUAAAAGCCCUGUAAUUGAAAGUCUGUUCCCUCCGAGACGGAUCCCGAGUAGUGCGGGGCACGUGAAACCCCGUAUGAAUCCGGCAGGACCAUCUGCCAAGGCUAAAUACUUCCUAGCGACCGAUAGUGAAGCAGUACCGUGAGGGAAAGGUGAAAAGCACCCCGGAAGGGGAGUGAAAUAGAACCUGAAACCGUGUGCUUACAAAAAGUCAGAGCCCGUUUUAGGGGUGAUGGCGUGCCUUUUGUAGAAUGAACCGGCGAGUUACGUUCCCGUGCAAGGUUAAGGUGAAGAGCCGGAGCCGCAGCGAAAGCGAGUCUGAAUAGGGCGACAUAGUACGUGGACGUAGACCCGAAACCGGGUGAUCUACCCCUGUCCAGGGUGAAGGUGCGGUAACACGCACUGGAGGCCCGAACCCACGCAUGUUGAAAAAUGCGGGGAUGAGGUGGGGGUAGCGGAGAAAUUCCAAUCGAACUCGGAGAUAGCUGGUUCUCCCCGAAAUAGCUUUAGGGCUAGCCUCGGAAAACAGAGUCGUGGAGGUAGAGCACUGAUUGGGUGCGGGGCCCGCAAGGGUUACCAAGCUCAGUCAAACUCCGAAUGCCAUAGACUUACUUCCGGGAGUCAGACAGUGAGUGCUAAGAUCCAUUGUCAAAAGGGAAACAGCCCAGACCAUCAGCUAAGGUCCCCAAGUGUGUGUUAAGUGGGAAAGGAUGUGGAGUUGCACAGACAACCAGGAUGUUGGCUUAGAAGCAGCCACCAUUUAAAGAGUGCGUAAUAGCUCACUGGUCGAGUGACUCUGCGCCGAAAAUGUAACGGGGCUAAACACACCACCGAAGCUAUGGCUUGAUGCUU